AGAGUUUGAUCCUGGCUCAGAACGAACGCUGGCGGCAGGCCUAACACAUGCAAGUCGAACGCCCCGCAAGGGGAGUGGCAGACGGGUGAGUAACACGUGGGAACCUUCCCUAUAGUACGGAAUAGCCCAGGGAAACUUGGAGUAAUACCGUAUACGCCCGAAAGGGGAAAGAAUUUCGCUAUAGGAUGGGCCCGCGUAGG
rnacentral:rRNA from 1 species